rnacentral:lncRNA from 1 species
UUUUUUUGUUUUUUUUUUUUUUUUUUUCUCCUGAAGCCACAAAACACACACACACGAGUGCAGGGACAAGGUACAUUUCUCGGGCUCAGAGGUUCCCUUCGCUUCAGCCUUUCCCCUAACCCCAGCGAUCCCGCCGGUCCCCUGCAUUUGUUUUUGGAAAGUCGUAAUUUACAAGAAAACAGAGAGGAAAGAAAGAGAAAUAAGAAAGCCCGAGAAAAUGGGAGAAAGGAGGAGACCCCAAAGUCCCGCAAUUCCCGACUACAACCAGAACAAUCAGCGAGACACACAGAGGCGCCCUGAGCCUGCAUCGCCCGCAGAGGAUCGGACACAAGUGGGCACUCACCUUAGGCACCCUUUCCUGCUAAGCCCGCAGGAGCGGAACUCCGGGUAGCUCCAGGAUGUAUUAGUUCUCGGUGCCUGUCCUGUGUGCCCAGAGCUCCCAGAAACUUGGCAGUGAGGAGUUAUACCUGCUGCCUGUCUGGAGUCAAAGUUUGCCUCUCUCCAGGACCUGCAGAUAAGCAGCCUCAGCUCCGGCGCAUCCUGGGGGGCUGCAGGAGCCGCUAUGCAGGAGCUAUGCGUACACUGCAGCUUUCCCCUUCGCUGCCUCCCGCCAGCUCUCUGGGUCCCACUCCCUCUUCCUUUCUCUUUCCCCUUCUUGUAAUUUGAUUUCCGUUUUCUUAUCAAUAUUCCAACUGCUGUCUGAUGAAUUGUUCUUAAUAGUACAGUCACCCGUCUGCCCCAGCUGCUUUUCUAGAAACCACUGUGUGUUACUAGGAAACUUUAAAGAAUGCUAGAAAUCAUGCACACAUAUCAUAAAUAUAGACAUACAAUUAAGCAAAGCCAAAAGAAGACAUGCGGACCCACGCUUCUUUGAGCUGAUUAUUUAUUCUUUGAAAGUUCUAGAUUAUCGAUAUGCAAGUAAUCAUUCCUCAAACUUGAUAUUGGUGAAGUUCUCUUUUACUUUUUGAGCCUUUAAGGUUUUCCUUCUUAAGGUUACUCCUCCCCUUAUUGAGUCCUAUUGCGCCCGCACUCCCAACCACCACCCAGAAUACACCUCUUUUUGAUCCACUUUUUCUAGGUAGUAUCUAUAAGAGCAAAGUGGAUUGCACAUGCCAUAGAAACAGCCCUACUCUGAGGUUUUAAUUAAAAAAAAAAAAACAAACUCCAACAAUUUGAAAGCAUUCUUGGUAAGGAGUUGUUUCUGGGUUGUCAAAUUUGUGUUUUCUUGUAAUUUGGAAUGUUGCUCAUUCUUUCACUUGAAUGGAGCUCAGAUUUCUGAGUCAGCGCUCAAAUGGGCCCUUUCUGCUGCCCAAUCCCAGGGCCAUUACCCACAAAAUAGAACCUGCAUUGCUGAGUUGCUUGUGCUUUGGGGUGGGUGGAUCUCUGGCAAAAGGGAAUUGUUCACAGUUGUUUCUAACCAGGGGGCAGGACGGGGGGCAGGGUGGCAGUGGAGAGGUGA